rnacentral:rRNA from 1 species
GCAGUGGGAGCACAGGUUUACCUGUGUGACUGCGUACCUUUUGUAUAAUGGGUCAGCGACUUAUAUUCUGUAGCAAGGUUAACCGUAUAGGGGAGCCGGAGGGAAACCGAGUCUUAAUUGGGCGUUAAGUUGCAGGGUAUAGACCCGAAACCCGGUGAUCUAGCCAUGGGCAGGUUGAAGGUUGGGUAACACUAACUGGAGGACCGAACCGACUAAUGUUGAAAAAUUAGCGGAUGACCUGUGGCUGGGGGUGAAAGGCCAAUCAAACCGGGAGAUAGCUGGUUCUCCCCGAAAGCUAUUUAGGUAGCGCCUCGUGAAUUCAUCUCCGGGGGUAGAGCACUGUUUCGGCUAGGGGGCCAUCCCGGCUUACCAACCCGAUGCAAACUGCGAAUACCGGAGAAUGUUAUCACGGGAGACACACGGCGGGUGCUAACGUCCGUCGUGAAGAGGGAAACAACCCAGACCGCCAGCUAAGGUCCCAAAGUCAUGGUUAAGUGGGAAACGAUGUGGGAAGGCCCAGACAGCCAGGAUGUUGGCUUAGAAGCAGCCAUCAUUUAAAGAAAGCGUAAUAGCUCACUGGUCGAGUCGGCCUGCGCGGAAGAUGUAACGGGGCUAAACCAUGCACCGAAGCUGCGGCAGCGACACUGUGUGUUGUUGGGUAGGGGAGCGUUCUGUAAGCCUGUGAAGGUGUGUCGUGAGGCAUGCUGGAGGUAUCAGAAGUGCGAAUGCUGACAUAAGUAACGAUAAAGCGGGUGAAAAGCCCGCUCGCCGGAAGACCAAGGGUUCCUGUCCAACGUUAAUCGGGGCAGGGUGAGUCGACCCCUAAGGCGAGGCCGAAAGGCGUAGUCGAUGGGAAACGGGUUAAUAUUCCCGUACUUGGUGUUACUGCGAAGGGGGGACGGAGAAGGCUAUGUUGGCCGGGCGACGGUUGUCCCGGUUUAAGCGUGUAGGUGUGUGUUCCAGGUAAAUCCGGUUCACUUUAACACUGAGGCGUGACGACGAGGCACUACGGUGCUGAAGCAACAAAUGCCCUGCUUCCAGGAAAAGCCUCUAAGCAUCAGGUAACAUCAAAUCGUACCCCAAACCGACACAGGUGGUCAGGUAGAGAAUACCAAGGCGCUUGAGAGAACUCGGGUGAAGGAACUAGGCAAAAUGGUGCCGUAACUUCGGGAGAAGGCACGCUGACACGUAGGUGAAGUGAUUUACUCAUGGAGCUGAAGUCAGUCGAAGAUACCAGCUGGCUGCAACUGUUUAUUAAAAACACAGCACUGUGCAAACACGAAAGUGGACGUAUACGGUGUGACGCCUGCCCGGUGCCGGAAGGUUAAUUGAUGGGGUCAGCGCAAGCGAAGCUCCUGAUCGAAGCCCCGGUAAACGGCGGCCGUAACUAUAACGGUCCUAAGGUAGCGAAAUUCCUUGUCGGGUAAGUUCCGACCUGCACGAAUGGCGUAAUGAUGGCCAGGCUGUCUCCACCCGAGACUCAGUGAAAUUGAACUCGCUGUGAAGAUGCAGUGUACCCGCGGCAAGACGGAAAGACCCCGUGAACCUUUACUAUAGCUUGACACUGAACAUUGAGCCUUGAUGUGUAG